UAAGUGCAGAGUUAUCCAAAGGGGUUUC
rnacentral:piRNA from 1 species